UACGGAGGGUGCAAACGUUGCUCGGAAUCAUUGGGCGUAAAGCGCACGUAGGCGGCCGCUUAAGUCGGAUGUGAAAGCCCCCGGCUCAACUGGGGAGGGUCACGCGAUACUGAUCGACUCGAAGGCAGGAGAGGGUAGUGGAAUUCCCGGUGUAGUGGUGAAAUGCGUAGAUAUCGGGAGGAACACCAGUGGCGAAGGCGAGUCCCUGGACAACACCUGACACUGAGGCACGAAAGCUAGGGGAGCAAACAGG
rnacentral:rRNA from 1 species